rnacentral:rRNA from 1 species
AUUGAACGCUGGCGGCAUGCUUUACACAUGCAAGUCGAACGGUAACAGGCCGCAAGGUGCUGACGAGUGGCGAACGGGUGAGUAAUGCAUCGGAACGUGCCCAGUCGUGGGGGAUAACGCAGCGAAAGCUGUGCUAAUACCGCAUACGAUCUAUGGAUGAAAGCGGGGGACCGUAAGGCCUCGCGCGAUUGGAGCGGCCGAUGUCAGAUUAGGUAGUUGGUGGGGUAAAGGCCUACCAAGCCGACGAUCUGUAGCUGGUCUAAGAGGACGACCAGCCACACUGGGACUGAGACACGGCCCAGACUCCUACGGGAGGCAGCAGUGGGGAAUUUUGGACAAUGGGCGCAAGCCUGAUCCAGCAAUGCCGCGUGCAGGAAGAAGGCCUUCGGGUUGUAAACUGCUUUUGUACGGAACGAAACGGCCUGGGUUAAUACCCUGGGCUAAUGACGGUACCGUAAGAAUAAGCACCGGCUAACUACGUGCCAGCAGCCGCGGUAAAAC